rnacentral:lncRNA from 1 species
CCAGUGCUUGCCGGGAACAACCCUCAGGCCAGGUGCAUGCUGGGGCCGCGCCGCUACUCCCUCCGCACGGCCCCACGCUUUUCGCCCUGAAGGAAUCGGUACGAGACGGCUCACCUAGGCAGCCCGCAGCCCGUGGUAGUGCCGGAGCCUUGCUCCUCUUCACUCAUUCCCUCCUCCGUCCCCGCGGGCGCCACCGUGACUGCAGCCUCCACGCGCCCCAAUACACAGCCGACGAGCUAGGGCCGGGGCCAAGCCCGGAGUCGCGGCCGGUAGGGCCCGCCGCGGGGCACGCUGGGAUAUGGAGUCCCCCGCCCACCCUACUUCGUGAGCCUCCAUCUGGAGGGGAGCUAUCCGCCCCACAACCCUCUGCGUGCGUGGCUCGCCCGGGCAGGCUGCACCGCCUUCUGGGAGGAGCGGGCCCUCCGCCGUCGCUUCUCGAGAAGGCCGUAUUUUUUUGUUUGUAAUACCGUCCCGCCUCCUUCCUUCCGCGCCCCCUCUCUCCCGGUCCGUGAAGCUGUGGACAUGCGUACUAGCGGAGGGGAAGCCGCUGGGUAGGGAGGCGGUAAGGACUCACUUGGGCACGGAGCCUUUUGGAUCGCGAGAAAACUACAGAACCCAAGAGCCCGCGCGCCAUCUGUGUCGCAGCUGGAGAGGCAGGGUCAAGCACGCACGAGAAGCUUCAUGGCGUCAUUGGUUACUCCCAUUGCGAUUACUUCCCCUAGGUGCACUGAGAUUGGUUACUUCGACUAAAGGGGCGGAGACAAGGAAAAGUCAGCCCCCCCCGACCCCGCCUCCUUGAUGAAGGAAGGUUGUGAUUGGUCCGGAGAGGCUGCCGUCGGAUCCUGGCUCUUUGCGGUCUGGGAGGGUGGGCCUUACCUAGACGCCGGAGGGGACCGAUCUCUGUUUCCGCAGGGCUCUGGAGCUGGUGCAGGUUUAAGUCCGUCUCAGACAGUCCCCUCAACCCACAGCCUAAGCCCCUUGCCCUUGGGCCUCCGUGACACAGAACUUGCUUCCUUUUCCUAGGUCGUCCUUCACCUCCCUUCAGGUGUUGCUUCUUUUGUGAAACCUUUUUAGAACCGCUCUAGUGAACCUCUCUUUAACUGGCGAGGAAACCUCUGGGGCCUGAUAAUCAGGCUGUAAUGUGGGACGACAGGAUUAGAAGGACUAGGCACCUUGGUGGUCUUGUUCCCUCUUCCAUGAGUCUUGGGUCUCUCAGCUGAAGAGAGCAAAAGUGAAUUUUGGCCGCCUAAGAUUAAUCAACUGAUCUGGGUGUUGAGCAGACGCGCAUUGUUUAGUCCUAGAGCCCCAUUGCCUCCUCCCCCAAAGUUGCACAACCACUGGGCUGAGGGAAAUCUUGUGACCUUGGAGAGAGAAAGGGAGAGACCACAUUAAAAAAAAAAAAGGUUCUAAUGAGUGUUCUGAGAA